rnacentral:lncRNA from 1 species
AACCAUCAAUAAUUUACUUUAUUUUACUGAUAGAAGAAAUAUUCCACACAAGAAAAAUGCAUUAAACCUGUUUAAAUGAUUGAAAGAAAUGUAUAAGGAACGAUAGGAAAUCCUUUAUAAGUAGUGAUGUGGUCUAACAUCUUUAUGCAAUCAUCAAUAUAUUUGGCUUCAUGGAGUCUUUAAUGAAGAAUGUAAAUCAUGAAAACAGAUUGAACUUAAAGCUUUCCUAACAAAACCCUUAUCCUAUUGAAACAAAACAUUUUUUUUUCAGUCAAGUUUUUCACAUGGUCUGAAGACAAAAAGGAAAAUACUGAUACAAUGAUUAUAUAAACUGUGCAAAUACAAAAUGUAUGAGUGAACAAUUACUGGUCUAUAAAUAAUGCUGUCAAGUAUAUCUUUUUUUAAUAUCCAUGUAAUGUAAGUCAUAUGUAAGUUAAAUUUGUCAGUGCUAGUUAAUUUACAUUAAAUACUUGAUACAAAAAAAUAUAUCGUACAAUCUCGUAGUCCAUAAGUUCGUAAAAUGUCUUUGACCU